rnacentral:rRNA from 1 species
AUUGAACGCUGGCGGCGUGCCUUACACAUGCAAGUCGAACGGCAGCAUGAUCUAGCUUGCUAGAUUGAUGGCGAGUGGCGAACGGGUGAGUAAUACAUCGGAACGUGCCCUGUAGUGGGGGAUAACUAGUCGAAAGAUUAGCUAAUACCGCAUACGACCUGAGGGUGAAAGUGGGGGACCGCAAGGCCUCAUGCUAUAGGAGCGGCCGAUGUCUGAUUAGCUAGUUGGUGAGGUAAAGGCUCACCAAGGCGACGAUCAGUAGCUGGUCUGAGAGGACGAUCAGCCACACUGGGACUGAGACACGGCCCAGACUCCUACGGGAGGCAGCAGUGGGGAAUUUUGGACAAUGGGCGAAAGCCUGAUCCAGCAAUGCCGCGUGUGUGAAGAAGGCCUUCGGGUUGUAAAGCACUUUUGUCCGGAAAGAAAUGGCUCUGGUUAAUACCUGGGGUCGAUGACGGUACCGGAAGAAUAAGGACCGGCUAACUGCGUG